rnacentral:rRNA from 1 species
AUACAGAGGGUGCGAGCGUUAAUCGGAAUUACGGGGCGUAAAGCGCGCGUAGGCGGCUUAUUAAGUCAGAUGUGAAAUCCCCGGGCUCAACCUGGGAACUGCAUCUGAUACUGGUAAGCUAGAGUUUUGGAGAGGGAAGUAGAAUUUCAGGUGUAGCGGUGAAAUGCAUAGAGAUCUGAAGGAAUACCAGUGGCGAAGGCGACUUCCUGGUCAAAAACUGACGCUGAGGUGCGAAAGCGUGGGUAGCAAACAGGAUUAGAAACCCUAGUAGUCC